UACGUAGGGGGCUAGCGUUGUCCGGAAUCAUUGGGCGUAAAGCGCGUGUAGGCGGUUCGGUAAGUCCGCUGUGAAAGUCGGGGGCUCAACCCUCGAAAGCCGGUGGAUACUGUCGGACUAGAGUGCGGAAGAGGCGAGUGGAAUUCCUGGUGUAGCGGUGAAAUGCGCAGAUAUCAGGAGGAACACCAAUUGCGAAGGCAGCUCGCUGGGACGUUACUGACGCUGAGACGCGAAAGCGUGGGGAGCGAACAGG
rnacentral:rRNA from 1 species